rnacentral:rRNA from 1 species
GUGGGGAAUAUUGGGCAAUGGGCGGAAGCCUGACCCAGCGACGCCGCGUGGGGGAAGAAGUCUUUCGGGAUGUAAACCCUUGUUGUACGGGACGAAGGAAGUGACGGUACCGUACGAGGAAGCCCCGGCAAACUACGUGCCAGCAGCCGCGGUAAUACGUAGGGGGCGAGCGUUGUCCGGAAUCACUGGGCGUAAAGCGCACGUAGGCGGGCUGUCAAGUCGGCCGUGAAAGGCACGGGCUCAACCUGUGCAUGUCGGUCGAUACUGGCGGUCUGGAGUAUGGGAGAGGGAACUGGAAUUCCCGGUGGAGCGGUGAAAUGCGUAGAUAUCGGGAGGAACACCAGUGGCGAAGGCGGGUUCCUGGCCCAUGACUGACGCUGAGGUGCGAAAGCCGGGGGAGCGAACGGGAUUAGAAACCCGUGUAGUCC